UGAUGUCAUCAUUAAUGGAGAGUGCUCUCAAUGUGCAAAAGAGGGAGAUCAGGAGGAAUAUGAUGAUGUGUGGAGUAUCACUGAAGAUGUGAGAAACCUGUUAGACUAUGAUGAUGUGGGGGAGGAGUCAAACUGUGAGUGAGGGGCCAUUUGACUCAGUGGCCACACCCACUGCCUCUGUUUAUUUCAUUUUAUUUCAUCAAGCAUUCAUGAUCAACCUAA